UACGAAGGGGGCUAGCGUUGCUCGGAAUCACUGGGCGUAAAGCGCACGUAGGCGGCUUUCUAAGUCAGGGGUGAAAUCCUGGAGCUCAACUCCAGAACUGCCUUUGAUACUGGAGAGCUCGAGUCCGGAAGAGGUGAGUGGAACUGCGAGUGUAGAGGUGAAAUUCGUAGAUAUUCGCAAGAACACCAGUGGCGAAGGCGGCUCACUGGUCCGGUACUGACGCUGAGACGCGAAAGCGUGGGGAGCAAACAGG
rnacentral:rRNA from 1 species